rfam:Zootermopsis nevadensis contig26067, whole genome shotgun sequence.
GCCACGGUGGUCUAGCGGUUAGAACGCUGGCCUUGUAAUCCUGGGGUCUUGGGUUCGAUUCCCGGUGGUGCCC